rnacentral:rRNA from 1 species
UACGUAGGGUGCAAGCGUUGUCCGGAAUUAUUGGGCGUAAAGAGCUCGUAGGCGGUCUGUUGCGUCGGCUGUGAAAGCCCGGGGCUCAACUCCGGGCCUGCAGCCGAUACGGGCAGACUAGAGUUCGGCAGGGGAGACUGGAAUUCCUGGUGUAGCGGUGAAAUGCGCAGAUAUCAGGAGGAACACCGGUGGCGAAGGCGGGUCUCUGGGCCGAUACUGACGCUGAGAAGCGAAAGCGUGGGGAGCGAACAGG